rfam:Myotis brandtii contig230893, whole genome shotgun sequence.
CAUGCACCGGCGGGGUUCCUCGGCCUGGCCUGCACCCUUUCACAAUCCGGAGCUGGUUUUGGCCUGAUCCCUGCAGGCCAGGCUGAGGGACCCCACCGGUGCAUG